rnacentral:rRNA from 1 species
AUUGAACGCUGGCGGCAUGCCUUACACAUGCAAGUCGGACGAGUGGCGAACGGGUGAGUAACGCAUUGGAACGUACCGAGUCAUGGGGGAUAACUGUCCGAAAGGACAGCUAAUACCGCAUAUUAUUCGAGCGGCCGAUGUUUGAUUAGCUGGUCGGCGGGGUAAAGGCCCACCAAGGCGACGAUCAGCAGCGGGUCUGCGAGGAUGAUCGGCAACACUGGGACUGAGAAAGGGCCCAGACUCCUACGGGAGGAAGCAGUGGGGAAUUUGGGACAAUGGGCGCAAGCCUGAUCCAGCCAUGCCGCGUGUCUGAAGAAGGCCUUAGGGUUGUAAAGGACUUUUGUCAGGGAAGCGGUACCUGAAGAAGAAGCACCGGCUAACUACGUGCCAGCAGCCGCGGUAAUAC